CCGGGUGUGGCGGAAUUGGCAGACGCACCAGACUUAGGAUCUGGCGGGGUAACUCGUGGGGGUUCAAGUCCCUUCACCCGGACCA
rnacentral:tRNA from 1 species